UUAUGGUGAGUAGCCUCUUCCGUUUCUUUUUCUGCGUGCUUAGUGUCGUCGGAGGUGAAGAGCAAGGGGUCGCGUUUUCUCAUCAAAGGGAAAAUAAUUUAUUCUUGAAAAGGAACUCGAUUCUCUUCCUUCCCUCUUCACAAAAAAUCGCAUUUCUCAAAGCAAAGUGCAUUUCUUCUCCAUUUCUCUCGCCGUUGAUCAUCAACCUGAAAACGCCGUCGUUUCGAUCUUCUCAUUGUUUUUCCGCAACGCUACGCCUGAAUCUCUUCCUCCUCUACAAUUGAAGCUUAUAUGAUGAGCCUCUGUGAGAUAACUGAUUAUAUAUUAGUAGCAACAAACAAUGGUAUUUAGUGUAAGAUGCUUCCUUUUCAACUGAACUUGAUUGGAGUGGGAAAUAUAGAUUCUUGUUCAAGUUGUAUUUGAUGAAUGAUGCACAAAUAUGUGGUAGAGAGUGGCUUCUGGUCUCAUUCUUUUUGUUAAGAUCUAAAAAACGCUCAUCUCUCCGGUAUCUUGGACUAUAUAAGAAUUCAGUCCCUUUUUUGCCAAUCAUGGACAGACGCAGGAGCACCAACCGGCCAGUAGCGUUGUCUUCCCCUUCUGUUACUGGCGCCACCACCAUAACAAUUGAAAGCUCAGUUCCAUCAUCCUCUUCAUCUCGGCAGGAACAACAGCAACCUGAAGUCCUUUUUCUCCUGCUCAAUCGCAAGAAGAAGAAGGUCUCGUGGAAAGACGGUACUGUGGACAAUGAGUUCAUGCAGAAAAAGAGUUCCAAGAAGUGUUGUAUCUUUCAUAAAGAAAAGCCCUUUGAUGAAGAUGAUAGCGAUGAAGAUGAUGUACCACACGACUCUGACAAACAUCCCCAUGAUCAUAGUGACAAUGGAUUUUGUUGCAAGAAUCAUGAUGAAGCUGGCCCAAGCAGUUAGUUAUGGUUCUGAUUGAUCAGAGCGGUGAUUACUGAACCACACAAGCCUGAUAUUUUGUUGUGUAAAUGUUUCUAGAAUUCAUUCAACUUAAGUUGAUUAGUAAAAGGAAUUGUUUAAAUUUUGUUGCAAAUAUAAAAUCACGACAUCAUAAUCAGAGGAGUGUUUAGUUUAAAUCAGAGGAGUAUUUGUUUAAAUCACAGUACCGUCUUUCCACGAGACCUUCUUCUUCUUGCGAUUGGGAAUCAACAUAUGGAGUUCAUUAUCGGAGAUGCCAAGGUUACAUGGACAUUAGGAGUUGUUUCACUUCUUGGCAUUUGGUUCAGUGCUCCAACUAUCUUCUACAUAGGUCAGCUACUUAAAAUACUGUCAAAUUAAAAUCCAGAGUUGAUGAAGAUUUUUUUUUUGUGGAAGUCCCGACACUUGCAAGAUAGAGAUCUAGAAUAGAGGUAAAACAAGUCUCAUAUUGGCCUUUGAUGUCAGUCAAAGUCAGCCCUGGAGCUAGGGAACUUGCAGAUAAAUUGGGUGUGAAACUUUUUAUUGUCGAUAGUAGUUAACAUCUAUGUGAUCGGUUUAAAGAUUACAUGGACAAAAUUAUAUUAAGGAGGAGAAAAAGAAAAAAUCUGCUGAUGAGGGCAGGUAGUCUUCCCAUGCAUUAUGACGAUCAAAUUAUCUUUUUUAAUUGUGAUUGCAAUGUUUGUGAUGACAACAGUUUUCUUUGCAAAUACAGUAUUAUUGAGUUUCCUUUCCUUCA